rnacentral:rRNA from 1 species
CACGUAGGGGGCGAGCGUUGUCCGGCUUUAUUGGGCGUAAAGAGCUCGUAGGCGGUUGCGUAAGUCGGAUGUGAAAACUCAGGGCUCAACCCGGAGACGCCAUCCGAUACUGCGCUGACUAGAGUCUGGUAGGGGAGCAUGGAAUGCCUGGUGUAGCGGUGAAAUGCGCAGAUAUCAGGAGGAACACCAGUGGCGAAGGCGGUGUUCUGGGCCGGUACUGACGCUCAGGAGCGAAAGCGUGGGUAGCGAACAGG